UCAGGAGGAACUGAACCUCUCUUAAGAAAUCAAAAUUCUUAGUGCCCUAACACCGCUA
rnacentral:tRNA from 5 species